rnacentral:lncRNA from 1 species
AUGGGGACUUCCCGGGGCGGGACUGACUGCGGUCCCCCAAGCCCUCUGUGUCCCCAGUGGCUCCCGCGUCCCUCAGCAGAGCGGGGCAGGAGGUGUCCAUGGCGGCUCCUGGACCAAGGUGAGAAGGCUGUCAGGUGGGACAGGUGCUGUCUGCACGGGGGAGGGAGAAAGGGUUGUUACUGUGAGAUUCAGCCUGCGGGGGACUUUCAUCUGUGGGGCCUCAGUGUGCAGGGGAGGUGCAGUGGCAGUGCGGGCCCCUCUGUCCUGUGCACAGGUAACUACUGCCCAGUAAGGGCGGCUCUACAAGGUUUAAGACCCAAAGAAGCCCAGAAACUCGAUCUGCACCAGCAAGAAGACUUCCUGUGGAAGGACCUCUUGAAGGUCUCCUCGAACUUCCAGGGGAAUACGACUCCAGGACUUCCAUCUUGAGAAUCCUUCCAUCUGUGCUCUCCUGCGUAGAAUGUCCCUCAUCCUCGCUGCCCCAAGUACAGGACCAUGUAGCUUCUCUGGCUGCCCCCAGGUCACCAUGAUCCUCCACAGCAAGAUGGACUGCAAGAUGCCCAGCUUAGAAUCCUCGCCCUUCCAGAAGAGGUGUUAAAUGUCCCUCGUCCUCGCUGCCACUAGGACAGGACCCCGUGGCUUCUCUGGCUCCCCACAGUCACCACCAUCGUCCUAAGGAAAAUGAACUCGGACACGCCCAGCCUCAGAAUCCUCGCCCUCCCAGAAGAGGUGUUAAAUGUCCCUCGUCCUCGCUGCCCCAAGGACAGGACCCUGUGGCUCCUCUGUCCCCGGGGAGCAGCUGCUGCCUGGGAAGAACCUCGUUGCCUCUGUUGGUGCCCAUGGAUUGCCCUGCACUACUGCCUCUGUGCCUACAUGUUAACAGAUUUUUAAGUUUAAAAGAAAUCCAUUAGGUCAAUAAAUAGUGGCUGGAGAAACA